CCAGUCAGACUUCACAACGUGCUGUGAAAAUUGGCAGCAAAAGAAGAGAUUUCAGAUCAAAGACUAACACACUGAAGGAGCAACGAGAAUGAUUGCAGGUCUUGAGCAUCUCUUAUAUGAAGACUGAGAGAACUGGGAUAGUUUAAUCUUGAGAAGAGAAGGCUGAGAGAGGAGCUAUCAACAUCUGUAAUUAUCUGAAGAGAAGAGCCAAUAGCAACCAAUUGGAGUCAAAGCAAACCAACAGCCAAAACAUCAGCAGUAAACCCAUAUCUACUGUCAGAAGCUACCACUCAAUACAUUUGGAAUUUUGCAAGUGCAAAGCAGCAGUGCUGUAGAUGAUGACAUUGU